CGCCCCCUCCCCCCACCUCACUGCGUGCUCUGGCUCCCAAACCUUGCACUGCCACCUUUGUGGCUGCUAGCUCGGCUUUUGCUCGUGGCUGCAUCACUAGGCGCCUGAGCAAAGAGCUCAUUAACAAACUGGUGCGGGAAGUUGUGCACCGCAAUCCCUCUACUGCUCCUGGAGGCAGCUUUUAACUGGGUGCUCCAAUGCAGUCGGGCUCAGGCAGCCGCAGCAGCGGCCGAGAGCUCUGCUGCAGCGGCGGCGGCGGCGGCGGCGACGGCCGCCCGGGAGACCCAGCCCGGAGCCCUAGCAGGGCUCUGCAGAGGCCACGGUAACCCCGAGGACUCUGUGUUCCGGCCCACGCACGGACCCGGGCUUUCCACCGCUGGAAGGGCAAGCGUGCUAAAGUUGGUCUGUAUCCAUGCAGAUCCACUUUGAGCAGCUGCAAAUGGGCUUUGGGAGGUGAAUCUACAAGGAGUUUUGUUUCUUGGGACCAAAUUCCCAGUUUGGAUCCAUUAAGAAACUGGUGAUUUGGAAGAAUUCCCAGAUACUGUUUCUUGGAUACCAUCUGUAAGUUCAAGAGUGAUGAUAGAGAUGAAUGAAACUUCCCCGCUGCAGCCCUGUUUUUUGACUUUACUCUUUUAAAACAUUGUUUUGUGCCAUUCUUGCCUCUGUUUCCAUAACAUACAUUUAUUUUUACAUAAAUGACAUUUAUUUUCCCACUGA